rnacentral:sRNA from 1 species
GAGUUCUCCUUUAGGAGUAGAGUACAUCCUCAUCGAGAAGCAGGCCGGUGUAUGUAGCGCUAACUGACGUAUGGGAGGGACAUCAUCGAAGGAAAACAGAAGAUCCAAAUCCUGGGCCAGGUUGCUGAUAUUGAAAACUACCUCGCAGUUCUGAAAUUCUCUAACUCAGGUUGUUAUGCGAUAACGGUGACCUUCCUGACAAUUCAAAUUCGGCUUUACUACUCUGCCUUCAUUCAACCAGGCAUAACCAAAGCGCCGAGUAAAAUCUUUGGCAUUGGACCGACCAAUCACAUUCUUCUUUCUUUGACUUCGGAAAGCUGCAAAAACAUAUAUGCCUUCAACACCUUAAUGCC